AAUAAGUACAUUUUUCAGUUUUUAGAAACAAUAUUUGACUCUUCGUUUUAUUUGAAUUUUUUACGAUUAAUAUUUUUAUUAUUAUUAGAUGAUAAAACAUGAAUACUAUUUUAUAUGUGACUAUUUUUAUAAAAAGUUUUUAAUAAAUUAUUUAAAUAAGACAUAAGAUCAAACGUUGGACAUAGAAAA
rnacentral:pre_miRNA from 1 species